GGUGAGUAACACGUGGGUAACCUGCCCAUCAGAAGGGGAUAACACUUGGAAACAGGUGCUAAUACCGUAUAACAAUCGAAACCGCAUGGUUUUGAUUUGAAAGGCGCUUUCGGGUGUCGCUGAUGGAUGGACCCGCGGUGCAUUAGCUAGUUGGUGAGGUAACGGCUCACCAAGGCCACGAUGCAUAGCCGACCUGAGAGGGUGAUCGGCCACAUUGGGACUGAGACACGGCCCAAACUCCUACGGGAGGCAGCAGUAGGGAAUCUUCGGCAAUGGACGAAAGUCUGACCGAGCAACGCCGCGUGAGUGAAGAAGGUUUUCGGAUCGUAAAACUCUGUUGUUAGAGAAGAACAAGGAUGAGAGUAACUGUUCAUCCCUUGACGGUAUCUAACCAGAAAGCCACGGCUAACUACGUGCCAGCAGCCGCGGUAAUACGUAGGUGGCAAGCGUUGUCCGGAUUUAUUGGGCGUAAAGCGAGCGCAGGCGGUUUCUUAAGUCUGAUGUGAAAGCCCCCGGCUCAACCGGGGAGGGUCAUUGGAAACUGGGAGACUUGAGUGCAGAAGAGGAGAGUGGAAUUCCAUGUGUAGCGGUGAAAUGCGUAGAUAUAUGGAGGAACACCAGUGGCGAAGGCGGCUCUCUGGUCUGUAACUGACGCUGAGGCUCGAAAGCGUGGGGAGCAAACAGGAUUAGAUACCCUGGUAGUCCACGCCGUAAACGAUGAGUGCUAAGUGUUGGAGGGUUUCCGCC
rnacentral:rRNA from 1 species